rnacentral:tRNA from 2 species
GCAGUCGUGCCUGAGUGAUUAAGGUGAUGGACUAGAAAUCCAUUGGGGUCACCCCGCACUGGUUCGAAUCCUGUCGACUGCG